rnacentral:pre_miRNA from 1 species
CCUCGGCGAACAUUCAACGCUGUCGGUGAGUUUGGUACAUACGAGAAAAAAACCAUCGACCGUUGACUGUGCCCUGCGG